rnacentral:rRNA from 1 species
UACGGAGGGUGCAAGCGUUAUCCGGAUUCACUGGGUUUAAAGGGUGCGUAGGCGGAUUUGUAAGUCCGUGGUGAAAUCUCUAAGCUUAACUUGGAAACUGCCAUGGAUACUAUAAAUCUUGAAUGUUGUGGAGGUUAGCGGAAUAUGUCAUGUAGCGGUGAAAUGCUUAGAUAUGACAUAGAACACCGAUUGCGAAGGCAGCUGGCUACACAACUAUUGACGCUGAGGCACGAAAGCGUGGGGAU